AGCAGAAGGAGAAGCUGGGUUCGGUGUGGGGAAAGCUCUUUUUCAGACACAAAUAGCUUUGAUAACAGCAGGAGAAAACAUAGAAAAUUACUGCCAAUGUAAAAUAACUUGUCAUAUAAAUGCUUCUGUCAACUGUGCCCAUGUUAUAAGGGCCCCUGAAGGAUAUGUGUCAGAUCUUAGAUGUGUCUGAUCGUGCAUAUCCAGAUACUGGAACUUAGUGUUGGGAGCUCUGCAAGACUGAUGUACAUAUUUCGCGGUCUAUUCUUGUGAAUGAUGAUAGACAUUCUGGCCACCUCGAGUACAACCAUAUUGUCUCUGCACAGAUGAAGCAGAUUUAUCACUUUUUCUCUUCCCUUCUAUCCAACAAAUCAUCUUGUGUAACAAAGAAAAAAAAGGGAAAAUAUCCAGCAAAUCCAAG
rnacentral:lncRNA from 1 species